GGAUUAGAUACCCUGGUAGUCCACGCCGUAAACGAUGAUAACUAGCUGUCCGGGCACUUGGUGCUUGGGUGGCGCAGCUAACGCAUUAAGUUAUCCGCCUGGGGAGUACGGUCGCAAGAUUAAAACUCAAAGGAAUUGACGGGGGCCUGCACAAGCGGUGGAGCAUGUGGUUUAAUUCGAAGCAACGCGCAGAACCUUACCAGCCUUUGACAUCCCGCGCUACUUUCAGAGAUGAUUGGUUCCCUUCGGGGACGCGGUGACAGGUGCUGCAUGGCUGUCGUCAGCUCGUGCCG
rnacentral:rRNA from 1 species